GUAUGUCAUCCUUGUGCAGAGGCCAUACUAAUCUUCUCUGUAUUGUUCCAAUUUCAGUGUAUAUGCUGCUGAAGUGAGCACUCAAUGCGGUUUCAAUUUGCAUUUUGAAUUACUCACUCUUAAAGGGCGAAUUAUAUGGGACACCACCAGAUCCGUGCUUUGCCGCGUCCCUGCCUCACAGACCUGUAGGUGCAGCAACGCCACCUCCUUGUGUCUCAACCAUCCUGAAGGGAAGGCUGCUAUUAUCUGCCUUCCCAGCGACUCAGGCUCGCCCCGAUGGUCCCCUUUCCAUCCAGUCGUUUCCCGCAGCCACUGCACUUAACUCUCAGGAUUAUUGCCUGUGUGGGUCGCUCAUUGCAUGUGAGCUUGCAGUGAUGGAACACUAGCCCCUGAAUAUUCCUG
rnacentral:lncRNA from 1 species